rnacentral:rRNA from 1 species
AAUUACUAAAAGUUAUAAUCUCCAAAUUUAAAGGAUUUGGCGGUAAUUUAGUCCAGUUAGAGGAACCUGUUUAAGAAACGAUACACCACGCAACAUCUUACCUAUCCCAAAAAAGUUUGUAUACCGUCAUUCUCAGAUAACUCUAAGAAGAUAAAGUUAUUUCAACAAGCGUCACUUAGUAUAUUAGAUCAAGGUGCAGCCUAUGGGCAGGUUAUAAUGGGUUACAAUAAAAUUUAUUUAAAUACGAAUCUAAAACAGAAUUGUUUUAAUGAAGGAGGAUUUAAUAGUAAACAUAGUUUAAUAAGCUAAUUUGAUAAAGGAUCUAGAUUGAGUACAUAUCGCCCGUCGCUUUCAUUACCAAAUGAAAUAAGUCGUAACAUAG